rnacentral:lncRNA from 1 species
GCUGAUUAAGCGUUUAUAUUUGAAUUCGGCAAAAUUCUAGAUUACCUGUCCUCCUCCUCGCAACCAGCGGACACAACCCUUCGCGCGGCUUGCCACUAUACCCAGCCAGGAACCUUUGCACCUCACACCGACAUCCCCACACUACCGCAUGAAUAACCAUCACUACUCAUACAUCUGUGUAUUCCCCUAUAUAUUUGAUACGAUGCCAAUCCAACCAGUGUCUUUACUCCAGAAAAAAACUACCGUUCAUACCACGCCUCGAACCUACGAUAUGCAGCACACUAACACGUCUCCUACACCACUACACUACCACACACUACCGUCUAAAACACUUAAACACACAUUUCAACAAUCC